AUAUCUUCAUGUGGCUUCCGCAGCAUGAAGGCAAGUGAAAAUGCCAGAGAUGGAGGUGUAUUGUAAUUAGCCAAAAUGUAGGUUAAAUAAGAGCUUGUAAAUGUGCAUCGUCAUGAGGUAGUGGCCCAUUACUUCAACACAUUUGUCUUUCAUGAAAUUGAAGAUGAGCAGCCGUCAACACUAUCACCAAAAAAAAAGCAACGGAAUGGAGGCAUGCGGAACUCACCCAACUCCUCGCCUAAGCUGAUGAGGCAUGACCCCUUGUUAAUUCCUGGCAAUGAUCAGAUUGACAACAUGGACUCCAAUGUGAAGAAGUACGACUCUACUGGGAUGUUUCACUGGUGUGCAGCCAAGGAGAUAGAGAAAGUCAUCCUGACUCGAAGUGAAGCUGCUAUGACCGUCCUGAGUGGCCAUGUCGUGGUCUGCAUCUUUGGCGAUGUCAGCUCAGCCCUGAUCGGCCUCCGGAACCUGGUGAUGCCGCUCCGUGCCAGCAACUUUCAUUACCACGAGCUCAAGCACAUUGUGUUUGUGGGCUCUAUUGAGUACCUCAAGCGGGAAUGGGAGACACUUCAUAACUUCC
rnacentral:sRNA from 1 species